ensembl:miRNA MIR484 microRNA 484
AGCCUCGUCAGGCUCAGUCCCCUCCCGAUAAACCCCUAAAUAGGGUCCUUUCCCGGAGGAGACCCCGGCUUUUUUGGCG